rnacentral:rRNA from 1 species
AUCAUUACCGAGUUUACAACUCCCAAACCCCUGUGAACAUACCUAUACGUUGCCUCGGCGGAUCAGCCCGCGCCCUGUAAAAAGGGACGGCCCGCCCGAGGACCCUAAACUCUGUUUUUAGUGGAACUUCUGAGUAAAACAAACAAAUAAAUCAAAACUUUCAACAACGGAUCUCUUGGUUCUGGCAUCGAUGAAGAACGCAGCAAAAUGCGAUAAGUAAUGUGAAUUGCAGAAUUCAGUGAAUCAUCGAAUCUUUGAACGCCCAUUGCGCCCGCCAGUAUUCUGGCGGGCAUGCCUGUUCGAGCGUCAUUUCAACCCUCAAGCUCAGCUUGGUGUUGGGACUCGCGGUAACCCGCGUUCCCCAAAUCGAUUGGCUUUCACGUCGAGCUUCCAUAGCGUAGUAAUCAUACACCUCGUUCCUUUAAUCGUCGCGGCCACGCCGUAAAACCGCCAACUUCUGAAUGUUGACCUCGGAUCAGG